GCCGAUUCGUAGUGUAGUGGUAGCACGUUGUUGUUCCUGAUGGGAGGGCGUGGGUUCGAUCCCCCCUCGGCA
rnacentral:tRNA from 1 species